CUGGUUGAUCCUGCCAGAGGUUACUGCUAUCGAGGUUCGACUAAGCCAUGCGAGUCGAAUGUAGCAAUACAUGGCGAACUGCUCAGUAACACGUGGACAACCUGCCCUUAGGUUGGGUAUAAACCCGGGAAACUGGGUAUAAUACCCGAUAGGUCUCGAUUGCUGGAAUGCAUCGAGAUUUAAAGCUCCGGCGCCUAAGGAUGGGUCUGCGGCCUAUCAGGUAGUAGUGGGUGUAGCGUACCUACUAGCCUACGACGGGUACGGGUUGUGAGAGCAAGAGCCCGGAGAUGGAUUCUGAGACACGAAUCCAGGCCCUACGGGGUGCAGCAGGCGCGAAAACUUUACAAUGCUGGCAACAGCGAUAAGGGAACCUCGAGUGCCAGGUUACAAAUCUGGCUGUCGAGAUGCCUAAAAAGCAUUUCAUAGCAAGGGCCGGGCAAGACCGGUGCCAGCCGCCGCGGUAACACCGGCGGCUCGAGUGGUAACCGUUAUUAUUGGGUCUAAAGGGUCUGUAGCCGGCCGGAUAAGUCUCUUGAGAAAUCUGGCAGCUUAACUGUCAGGCUUUCAGGAGAUACUGUCUGGCUCGAGGCCGGGAGAGGUGAGAGGUACUUCAGGGGUAGGGGUGAAAUCUUGUAAUCCUUGAAGGACCACCAGUGGCGAAGGCGUCUCACCAGAACGGACCUGACGGCAAGGGACGAAAGCUAGGGGCACGAACCGGAUUAGAUACCCGGGUAGUCCUAGCCGUAAACGAUACUCGCUAGGUGUCGGCCACGGUGCGACCGUUGUCGGUGCCGUAGGGAAGCCGUGAAGCGAGCCACCUGGGAAGUACGGCCGCAAGGCUGAAACUUAAAGGAAUUGGCGGGGGAGCACCACAACGGGUGGAGCUUGCGGUUUAAUUGGAUUCAACGCCGGGA
rnacentral:rRNA from 1 species